CAUGCCCCGUGGCCACAGCUACAAAUUCCAGUUUUAUCUCUGUUGUGGUUUUGAGCCCAUUUGCUUUUGAUUAUGUUUCAGUUUUGAAAGGAAAAGACAUACACUCCAGCUACCUUUUUUCUUUCUCAGAUGGAGUAAUAAACCUUAUUUAUAGUGGAAUUUGUUUCCUUCCAUGGCGACAGAUUUGAUUUUAUUAUUCUACCUCAUUGCAUUUGAGAUUGCAGCAAGGAGGAAACACAUAAAAGCAUAUCCAUCCCACACUACCUCCCUUGUAGCUGAUUAUAGAAAAAAAAGAUAUAACAAUCUGUUGGUCACCCUGUCCCAUGACAAUUUUUUGCUUAUGACCAACAGAAUUGCACUUUAUGUUCAAAAGAAUUCUUCAUGUGCACCCUGUCAACAAAAGUGGAUGUAAGAUUCAAAGUAUGAGUGCCAACAGUGGCCACAUAUAGUCACAGUGACUUGGGAGACUGAGACAGGAGGACCACUUGAGCCCAGGAGUUCCAGGUCAACCUGGAUAACAUAGUUUGACCCUGUAUCAAAAAGAAGAGAAAAAUCUGAGUGUGGUGGUGUACACCUGUACACUCAGCAGCCUGAGGCAGGAGGAUUGCUGUGAGUUCAAGGCCAACCUGAACUACAUGGUCAGACCCUGUCUCAAAAAACAAAAAAAAAAAAAAGAAAAAGAAAAGAAAAGAUUCAAAGUACGGCCAACCUCAGCAUGACACCAUAUGUCCAUUUCUUCUAUCACUGAUAGCACUCUUCAAAGCUGCAAUAUGCUUUGCAUAGCAUGAUCAUUUGAGCUGGAAAGUUUGAGCACAAUUUUAAUUUGCUUUUGUGCCUUUCUAUUCAAACCAGGUGAAAACAUGGCCUAACUCCAGUCUGCCGACAUACAUCUUCCAAAAUGUGGGACACCUGCCUCAUUUUCCGAUGUGUAGCAUCUCCCACAGAGUGCACCUGACCUCAGGCUGGCCGAGCGGUGUAGAGGAAUGUUGAGAAGAUGCCCCAGUGGUGCCGAGGUGACAUUUUCAGACAUGUAACAUCUGAAAAUGUGAAUUCACUGUAUGUUUUGGUCACAUCACAUAUUUGUCUGUGUUUGACUUUACUGGGCCAUGGACUGUUCUUGAGAUCUCACAUCUGCUCACUACUUUGUGAUGCCCAUUCAUCUCGGGC
rnacentral:lncRNA from 1 species